rnacentral:misc_RNA from 1 species
GAAAUGCGAAACCUAGUGUGAUACGCAACGAUCGUGAAUCAUCAAGUCUUUGAACGCAUAUUGCACUCUGUCUAACCGCAGAGUAUACCUGUUUGAGUAUCAGAUGUCCUUUUCAGCAAGCAGUUGCUGGUUAAUGGGUGUUGUGCAGCCGCAACGGCUGCUCACCUUAAAUGCAGGCAAAGCCACAGCGGCCGGUGCCAGGUGUCCAAGGUUCUAACCGACCAAGUUCACUGUAGUACUCGGUUGCACACGGCGGUGCUCCAUUCGCAUCCCUCGAUGCAUCUAUCAAUUGAUCUCAAAUCAGGCAGGAUCACCCGCUGAACUUAA